rnacentral:rRNA from 1 species
CAGCAGCCGCGGGAAUACGAAGGGGGCUAGCGUUGUUCGGAAUUACUGGGCGUAAAGCGCACGUAGGCGGAUAUUUAAGUCAGGGGUGAAAUCCCGCAGCUCAACUGCGGAACUGCCUUUGAUACUGGGUAUCUUGAGUAUGGAAGAGGUUAGUGGAAUUGCGAGUGUAGAGGUGAAAUUCGUAGAUAUUCGCAGGAACACCAGUGGCGAAGGCGGCUAACUGGUCCAUAACUGACGCUGAGGUGCGAAAGCGUGGGGAGCAAACAGGAUUAGAUACCCCGGUAGUCCCUGUCUCUUAUAC